CACUUUCUUACUUUCACAUAAUUGGGGCAUUGGUAUUUGAGCGAGGUUUCGAUAGCGUGGGUUUUAUUAACUUGCGCUUUUAUGAUGUUGAUGUAAUGAUGCCGACUGCACGCUCUAAGUCUGUUGGAGCGGACGACGCGGCAACCUUUGAGGAGGCGGAGAUAUCCACUACCUCCGGAUUCGGCGAGGUCCGUGAGUUGAGGAGCCAGCUUGCGGCCCUCACUGACUUGGUGACGCAGCAGGUGGCGGCGGCUCGACAGCAUGC
rnacentral:lncRNA from 1 species